UAACGAAUUUACGAAACUUAAGGGAGAAA
rnacentral:piRNA from 1 species